rnacentral:rRNA from 1 species
GAUGAACGCUGGCGGCGUGCCUAAUACAUGCAAGUCGAGCGAACGGACGAGAAGCUUGCUUCUCUGAUGUUAGCGGCGGACGGGUGAGUAACACGUGGAUAACCUACCUAUAAGACUGGGAUAACUUCGGGAAACCGGAGCUAAUACCGGAUAAUAUUUUGAACCGCAUGGUUCAAAAGUGAAAGACGGUCUUGCUGUCACUUAUAGAUGGAUCCGCGCUGCAUUAGCUAGUUGGUAAGGUAACGGCUUACCAAGGCAACGAUGCAUAGCCGACCUGAGAGGGUGAUCGGCCACACUGGAACUGAGACACGUUCCAGACUCCUACGGGAGGCAGCAGUAGGGAAUCUUCCGCAAUGGGCGAAAGCCUGACGGAGCAACGCCGCGUGAGUGAUGAAGGUCUUCGGAUCGUAAAACUCUGUUAUUCGGGAAGAACAUAUGUGUAAGUAACUGUGCACAUCUUGACGGUACCUAAUCAGAAAGCCACGGCUAACUACGUG